GCACCCGUAGCUCAGCUGGAUAGAGCAUUUGACUACGAAUCAAAAGGCCGGGCGUUCGAAUCGCUCCGGGUGCGCCA
rnacentral:tRNA from 2 species